rnacentral:rRNA from 1 species
CGGGGUGAGUAAUGUCUGGGAAACUGCCUGAUGGAGGGGGAUAACUACUGGAAACGGUAGCUAAUACCGCAUAAUGUCGCAAGACCAAAGAGGGGGACCUUCGGGCCUCUUGCCAUCGGAUGUGCCCAGAUGGGACUAGCUAGUAGGUGGGGUAACGGCUCACCUAGGCGACGAUCCCUAGCUGGUCUGAGAGGAUGACCAGCCACACUGGAACUGAGACACGGUCCAG